GUGCUCACUUUGGCAACACACAUGCUAAAAUUUGAAUGAUACAGAAAAGAUUAGCAUGACCUCUGUGCAAGGAUGACACACAAAUUAGUGAAGCGUUCCCUAUUUUU